rnacentral:lncRNA from 1 species
GCCAUCUUAGAUAUAAUUUGGUGUCAGGACUCUUGUCGUAGGAACUUGUGGUGCCUUGCUCUCCAUCUCACACUUUCCUUCGUAAGGUUGACCUCCACCCCCCACCCCCACCCCCACCAUUCUGAUCUGUUCUGUCUGGAGGAUGGCUCAUACAGGGACUGGAAGUCAGCAAAGAGUUCCCAGCGGUAGAGGGCAGCCUCCCCGCCUCUCGCCUUCUUCAGCAGCAUCCUAGAUUUAUCAGAAAUAUUAAAGCAUAUGGCUUCUGCAAGACAUCAGCUUCCUUUGCUUCCUCAGAGAGAGGCUGUCCAUGGACAAGCUGCAGUAAACUUUAAGGGGAAGGCUUUGGCAUCCACAUUAUUCCUGCCUGGAAGCUGACUUGAAAACAGGAAGCUCAGAGCUUCACAUGAAGAAUGAUGGGACAGAAAGACACAGAGGACCUGAUAGCACCAACCAGUAACUGUGCCAGCCCCAGGCUGUUGACCUCCACACUUCUCAUUAUUUGAGAAAAAUGAGGUCGGGCUCAGCAGCUUAAGUCUCUUAGAGUUGAAUUUGCUGUUGUCUGUAACAAAACUUGGUCUUAAAUUAUACAAGUGUGAUCCCUCAGAAACACUGGGCA